AUGUAUGUAAUAGCAGAUAUAGUAAUUUUAAAUCUUCAUUGUACGAUAGGAUUACCCCUGUCAGUUUCCAUGCGGAAGGUCGGUGUUUCUUUUUUUGGCACUCCGACUUCAAUUUGAUUGAAACUCACUGCUGUUGAUAAGAGAUUCGGCUAGAUUUAAUCUACUUGAAUCGAUGGAGUUUUCGUGGCAUAGUUAACUAAUUAGUUCAUCUGUUGUUUCGCUUGCCUAUCAACACUUGAGUUUAAUUGAAUAGAACAACCAGUUUUUCCUACAUAAGGUUCUCUCCAGGAACUCU
rnacentral:lncRNA from 1 species